rnacentral:rRNA from 1 species
GUCUAUUAGGUAUGUCUAUUAGGUAUUUAUUUAUAGUCUGACCUGCUCACUGAUAAAUUAUUAAAGAGCCGCAGUAUUAUGACUGUGCAAAGGUAGCAUAAUCAUUAGUUUUUUAAUUAAAAGCUUGUAUGAAUGGUUGGACAAGAAAAAUUCUGUCUUUAUAAUAAAUGUUGAAUUUAACUUUUAAGUGAAAAGGCUUAAAUUUUUCAAAGGGACGAUAAGACCCUAAAAGCUUUAUAAAUUAUUAAAAUUUAAUUGAAUUAAUUUAUAAUUAUUUAAUUUUAAUAUUUUAUUUUGUUGGGGCGACAUAGGUAUAAAUAAAAUAACUGCUUAAGUUUAAAACAUUUAUAGUUGAAAUAUUAAUUGAUCCUUAUUAAAGAUUUAAGUUUAAGUUACUUUAGGGAUAACAGCGUUAUUUUUUUUGAGAGUUCAUAUCGAAAAAAGAGUUUGCGACCUCGAUGUUGAAUUAAAUGUCUUCUUAAUGCAGCUGUUAAGAGAAGAGGGUCUGUUCGACCUUUAAAUUUUUACAUGAUUUGAGUUCAGACCGGUGUAAGCCAGG